ACUCCCGGACGACCCGUUACGGAAACGUAAGGGGGUGGCUUCCAUCUGGAAGAAUCUGGAGACAGGUGCUGCAUGGCUGUCGUCAGCUCGUGUCGUGAGAUGUUGGGUUAAGUCCCGCAACGAGCGCAACCCUUGCCUUUAGUUGCCAGCAGUUCGGCUGGGCACUCUAAAGGGACUGCCGGUGUUAAACCGGAGGAAGGUGGGGAUGACGUCAAGUCCUCAUGGCCUUUAUGACCAGGGCUACACACGUACUACAAUGGCCGAUACAAAGGGCAGCGACACUGCGAGGUGAAGCCAAUCCCGUAAAAUCGGUCUCAGUCCGGAUUGGAGUCUGCAACUCGACUCCAUGAAGUUGGAAUCGCUAGUAAUCGUGGAUCAGCAUGCCACGGUGAAUACGUUCCCGGGCCUU
rnacentral:rRNA from 1 species